UUAAACAAUGAUGAGAGUGUGUCAUGGACCGAGGAUUAUGAUUAAUCCAAUUCUGUUAUCUGAAAUC
rnacentral:snoRNA from 1 species